GCAAGGCUUAAUACAUAUAUAUGUAUAAUUUAAACAAUUUAGCCUAUGGCGUGUUGCUUCAAAAAGGGCCUUGCCUUACCUCGCCUCUCACCUCUCGCCAUAGGGUAUCCUGUCGCCUUGGUGUCGUCUUUCACCUUAAUAACAAUGCCCUCGCCUACGUGGUAGUUUGACCCAGUAAGACAAUACCAAAGCUGAAUUUUGAUCAGGGACU
rnacentral:misc_RNA from 1 species